AUAACAAUACAGGACUCUUUAGAGGCCCUGUAAUUGGAAUGAGUACACUUUAAAUCCUUUAAUGAGGAUCUAUUGGAGGGCAAGUCUGGUGCGUGUGUGCUGCAGCUGAAACUGCUCGCACAGUCUCUCCAG